ACACACACACACACACACACACACACACACACACACACACUAGUUAAAAGCUCUGUGUGGACCCUGUGCAGAACCAUAAAACUGCCUUUUGUGCGUUGUUAUCCAAAUUUCUCUGUUCUUUGUUUCAAUAGACGUUUUAUAACAAAAACGUCAGCAUUGGGGAACGUUCUGUGAGAG